rnacentral:rRNA from 1 species
ACGGGAGGCAGCAGUGAGGAAUAUUGGUCAAUGGUCGGCAGACUGAACCAGCCAAGUCGCGUGAGGGAAGACGGCCCUACGGGUUGUAAACCUCUUUUGUCGGAGAGUAAAGUACGCUACGCGUAGCGUAUUGCAAGUAUCCGAAGAAAAAGCAUCGGCUAACUCCGUGCCAGCAGCCGCGGUAAUACGGAGGAUGCGAGCGUUAUCCGGAUUUAUUGGGUUUAAAGGGUGCGUAGGCGGCACGCCAAGUCAGCGGUGAAAUUUCCGGGCUCAACCCGGAGUGUGCCGUUGAAACUGGCGAGCUAGAGUACACAAGAGGCAGGCGGAAUGCGUGGUGUAGCGGUGAAAUGCAUAGAUAUCACGCAGAACCCCGAUUGCGAAGGCAGCCUGCUAGGGUGAAACAGACGCUGAGGCACGAAAGCGUGGGUAUCGAACAGGAUUAGAUACCCUGGUA